GCGCAAGCAGCAGCACUAGAUGGCACCGAGUAUUCUUAGGGAAGCGCGGAAGAGGAAUCCCGCAGCAGUACACGCCUCGUGCAUAACUCGUUUCGACAGUGGCAAUACG
rnacentral:lncRNA from 1 species